rnacentral:rRNA from 1 species
AGGAUGAACGCUGGCGGCGUGCCUAACACAUGCAAGUCGAACGGGUGUGGUAUCAGGGAAAAGGGGUUUACUUCUUUGACCAGAUAACACACUAGUGGCGGACGGGUGAGUAACGCGUGGAUAACCUGCCUUAUACAGGGGGAUAACAGGGAGAAAUUCUUGCUAAUACCCCAUAGGUAUGUCUGACGCAUGUUGGACAUAUUAAAGCUUUGGCGGUAUAAGAUGGGUCCGCGUCUGAUUAGCUAGUUGGUGGGGUAAAGGCCCACCAAGGCGACGAUCAGUAGCCGGCUUGAGAGAGUGGACGGCCACAUUGGGACUGAGACACGGCCCAAACUCCUACGGGAGGCAGCAGUGGGGAAUAUUGCACAAUGGGGGAAACCCUGAUGCAGCGACGCCGCGUGAAGGAAGAAGGUCUUCGGAUCGUAAACCUCUAUCAGCAGGGAAGAAGGAAGUGACAGUACCUGAGUAAGAAGCCCCGGCUAACUACGUG